rnacentral:rRNA from 1 species
UAAUGAUCAUGGCUCACGAGUGACCGCUGGCGUUAAAGGCCUAACCACCAUGCAAGUCGAACGGCAGCACAGGAGAGCUUGCUCUCAUGGGUGGCGAGUGGCGGACGGGUGAGGAAUACAUACGGAAUCUACUCUGUCGUGGAGAGGGAUAACGUAAGGGAAACCUUACAGCAUANAUACACUGGAAUACGACCUACAGAUGGAUGAAAAGCAAGG